UUGUUGAACUUUGUACUUCGGCUAAGGUGCUGCUCUAUGGCGGCCAGUACCUUGGCUAGGUGCAACGCUGAAUAGUUGG
rnacentral:pre_miRNA from 1 species